rnacentral:rRNA from 1 species
UACGUAGGCAGCAAGCGUUGUUCGGAAUACUGGGCGUAAAGGGUGCGUAGGCGGCUUUUUAAGUUUGGUGUGAAAUCUCCCGGCUCAACUGGGAGGGUGCGCCGGAAUACUGAGAAGCUAGAGUGUGGGAGAGGAAAGUGGAAUUCCUGGUGUAGCGGUGAAUGCGUAGAUAUCAGGAGGAACACCGGUGGUGUAAACGGCUUUCUGGACCAUAACUGACGCUGAGGCACGAAAGCGUGGGGAGCGAACAGG